GCGCCAGCCGCCGGCCGACGACGGCAAUCGCAGCACCCUACACCACCGUUACACCUUAGCUCCUCCUUUUCCCCGCGUGCCCGAACUCCUCCUCUCUCGCGCGUGCCCCAGCUCCUCAUUGUGCGCCGCUCGGGAGGGCUUGCGCUCGCCGCUCGACCAGAGCCACCGCCAGCUGGUCGUUGUUGCACUUGCCGGACACCUGACAGUCCCCUCUGCACUGCCCUCCACCACAAAUUUGUACGCGUAUGUGUUUGUGGAUGUUCUCAAUUAUUUUUUGCACACAAGGUGUUUGUGUGUUUGUCCGAGCCAGUUCCAGUCACAGAUCCUUGAGGUAAACUCCCACAUGAAUACAUCAUGAGAGUAACUCUCCUUCGAUAUGAUUCAAAAAAUGUUAUGAUGGUGGGAGUUAAUUAAUUUACAUCAUGUGAGUCUCAAGACACAUGGGUACGCCGGUUCCUAUUGCUUGACAAAUACUCCCUCCAUUCCAAAAUAGAUGACUCAACUUUGUAUUAACUUAGUACAAAGUUGAGUCAUCUAUUUUGGAACGGAGGGAGUAUAUAUCUACAGAUUUUCUAUAAUCGUAUAAAGAAGUUACAGUUAGGUGUUGACCUUUUUCUUUGCCUAGACACAGCAGCUCCAACAAGAUCUGGGCGCUCAUAAUGAGAUGUAUAUGCAUGCUUUUUGUUUUUGCUGUGCCUUGUUUUCCGUUUAUCUUUGCUGCGCCAUUGUAGUUUGAAUUGUUCUUUACCUUCACCCGACCGAAUUGAGCUAUCGGAGGUGCUGCGGUCUUUUGGCAAACAUGCUCUAUAUUAUAUGGUUUGGCACCUACAGGAUGCCAUCUCAGGUCAUGGAUCCACUCUGUCUGCUUCGUCCUUCACUGAGGACCUUCUCAUCCCCACAGAGAUCAGAGAGAAUAUUAUAUUUUGGAAGCAGGAAACCAUACCUCAUAAGAUGGCAUUUUGUGCUUGGUGGCCUUCUUCGCCGACUUCGUGGGCGUGUCAGCCCUCAUAUCCACUUCGUCAUCGACGACAUCUACGACCACGACACCUGCCACCUUGGGUAUGAUUGUGAUCUGUGCAAUGGGUGCAUAGUGGAAGGGGCUGCCGUUCCAGUUCAGCAGGGGCUGCACCUUCUACUGCAGUGAGCCCGACCCGCAUCGACAGCAAUGGAUUCAGAUUGUGUUUGGAGAUGGUGGCCCGUGAGGAGGAUUUCAGGGGAGAUCGUACUGUGACUAUGACAAGAGGCUGAGAUUUGACCUGCACUGUAUGCGAAAAGCAGGUUUAGGAGCUCCAAGCCAACAACCGCCAGAGCUUUGAAAAAGAUAUUUUUAUAAUUAAAGUGAAGAUACUGUGAUGGUGUGUCAUUUUCUGGAAACGUCGAAGACGAAUUUCAGGAAGGCACCACUUUCUUCUUCAGAGGCCAGCAUAUUUGGGAAGCAGUUAUUAGGGAACUUUUAUCAAAAGGUCUAUCACAUGCUAAAGAAGUAGCCUUCCGACAAAAAUAGGUGUGAUCAUUGAAAUCUGGGUUAGAUAGAAGCAAUGUUUAAAUUUGAACUGUGCAUGAGUCUCAGAAUGUUUUGUUGGUGCCAUGUUGACACAUCAGUUGUAUAGGUCACACCUAGAACUAGCGUCACCACCGCAAAAGAAAUGAAGAAAUAGAUUAGUAACUUGUACCAAAGGCGUCUACUGUGCCAUAUUAUCUCUGUAUCUUUUUUCAAUCUGUUUGUAUUGAUAGCUGAGAGUGACACUUAGGACGAUAAUUCAGAUAUCAUUUUUGUAUUUAAGAUGCAGGCUGAAUUUCUUAAUUGGAAAAAUGGCAUCAUUUUGACGAGUCAGAACUAAAUUGCAAGAAUUAUGUAUAUCAGUGGCAUCAUUUUGACUGAGACGGACCAAACCAAACAGAAUGUUAUAAGCAACGGAUAAACAGAGCACUAAAUUUCAAUCACAGAUAGGGCUGAUUCUUGAAUCUGGCAAGUUAUGGGAA